rnacentral:rRNA from 1 species
UUGAACGCUGGCGGCAGGCCUAACACAUGCAAGUCGAACGGUAACAGGAAGAAGCUUGCUUCUUUGCUGACGAGUGGCGGACGGGUGAGUAAUGUCUGGGAAACUGCCUGAUGGAGGGGGAUAACUACUGGAAACGGUAGCUAAUACCGCAUAACGUCGCAAGACCAAAGAGGGGGACCUUCGGGCCUCUUGCCAUCGGAUGUGCCCAGAUGGGAUUAGCUAGUAGGUGGGGUAACGGCUCACCUAGGCGACGAUCCCUAGCUGGUCUGAGAGGAUGACCAGCCACACUGGAACUGAGACACGGUCCAGACUCCUACGGGAGGCAGCAGUGGGGAAUAUUGCACAAUGGGCGCAAGCCUGAUGCAGCCAUGC